AUCCAGACGACGAGUCCCAAAUUGGAUGAAAUGUGCAUCCUGGAU
rnacentral:hammerhead_ribozyme from 1 species